GAUGAACGCUGGCGGCGUGCCUAAUACAUGCAAGUCGAGCGAACAGACGAGGAGCUUGCUCCACUGACGUUAGCGGCGGACGGGUGAGUAACACGUGGAUAACCUCCCUAUAUGACUUAGAUAACUUCGAGUAACCGUAGCUCCUACCGUAUCAUAUCUUGAACCGCAUUGUUCAAUAGUGCAAUACGGGUUUGCUGUCACUUAUAGAUGUAUCCGCGCCUCAGUAGCUAGUUGGUCAGGUAACGCGCUACCAAGUCACCGAUGCGUAGCCGACCUGAGAGGGUGAUAGGCGACACUGGAACGGGGACGCGGUCAAGGCUCCUACGGGAGGCACCAGAAGGGUAUCGUCCGCAAUGGGCGAAAGCAUGGCAGAGCAACGGCGAGUCAGUGAUGAAGGUCUCCGGAGCGUAAAGCCCUGUUACGAGGGAAAAACAAAUGUGUAAGGAAAUAUGCACGUAUUGACGGUACCUAAUCAGAAAGCCACGGCUAACUACGUG
rnacentral:rRNA from 1 species